GAACGCCGUAUGAAUCGAAAGGUUCACGUACGGUGUGAAGCGGGGGAAAAUGGAACCCAAACAGGUGAGGCUGAGGGGAAUAUUACCUAUCGCUAC
rnacentral:ncRNA from 2 species